rnacentral:rRNA from 1 species
GAUGAACGCUAGCGGCAGGCCUAACACAUGCAAGUCGAGGGGUAGCAGGAUUAAGCUUGCUUAAUUGCUGACGACCGGCGCACGGGUGCGUAACGCGUAUGCAACCUACCUUAUACUGGGGUAUAGCCCGGAGAAAUUCGGAUUAAUCCCCCAUAGUACUAAUGAAUCGCAUGGUUUAUUAGUUAAAGCAUUGCGGUAUAAGAUGGGCAUGCGUCCUAUUAGCUAGAUGGUGAGGUAACGGCUCACCAUGGCUACGAUAGGUAGGGGGCCUGAGAGGGUGGUCCCCCAAACUGGUACUGAGACACGGACCAGACUCCUACGGGAGGCAGCAGUGAGGAAUAUUGGUCAAUGGGCGCAAGCCUGAACCAACCAUGCCGCGUGCAGGAAGAAUGCCCUAUGGGUUGUAAACUGCUUUUAUUUGGGAAUAAACCUCUUUACGUGUAGAGAGCUGAAGGUACCAAAUGAAUAAGCACCGGCUAACUCCGUGCCAGCCGCCGCGGUAA